GAAGAGUCAUGGUUUUCACGCAAAAUCUAUCGCUUCAGAUGGAAUUCCUCCUGGUUUAUUGAGGGAAAAAGGGUGGACACUUUAUGCUAGCACUCCCCGCAACUACCAAUUAAGCCAAGCUUUAGGCUCAAAUGAUUCCUUGCGUUCCAAGCUACCAAAUUUCAAUUUUCCAAUUUUGAAUGAUUGUUCUGAAUCAGUGGUUGUUGGAAAGUGGUAUUGUCCUUUUAUGUUUGUUAAGGAAGGAAUGAAUUUAAAAGAGCAAAUGAAGAUGUCAAUGUUCUAUGAGCUAACACUUGAGCAAAGAUGGGAGAAGAUAUUUUCAAAGGAAAAUAGUGGAGAAGGUGGUGUGGUUGUAGAUGUUGCUAUUCAAACAGAAGUUGCUAAGGUUGAAGGAAAGGAUGCUGUUUGGGAUGAAAAUAGAUUGGUUGAUGGAGUUUUGUGGUUUAAGAGUGUUGAAAAGAAAAGUGUUGGAUUGAGUUUGGAAGUUGUUGAGGCAAUGAAAUGGGAACAAAGAAGGUUUGGAUGGAAUGCUGGGAAUGGAAGACAAGUGAGAGUAACAAAAGUUGAAGAGUUUGAUGGAACAAACAAAUGGAAGAAAUUUAGUAGUUAUGUGUUGGUUGAAAGUUAUUCAUUGAGGAGAAUGGAUUCAAAAUUGGUUCUUACUUAUGAUUAUAGACACUCACAUCAAAUUAGGAGCAAAUGCGAAUGAUGAUUUUCUCAAACAUUUGUUUACUUUAAACUUUCUUCUGAUUUGUUCACUUCAAUAUUUUGUUCUUGUUAUUCAUUAUUAUAUUAUGUACAGCUCAUUUAUGUAUACUAAUAGUUGAUGUUAGAGCCCACAUAUUUUGGCUCCUUUAUUUUGUGUAUGCAAGUAAAUAUGAAAGGGUACUCCGAUCCAUGCAAACUACUAUCCCAUAUAAUCAUUAUUAGUUCUCUUUUGUUUGUUUUUUUUUUCCAUAAGAAAGAAUCAAGUUAUCAACUGGCCGAACUUGUAUAAUCCUUUUUCACUAACUAUAUUAAUUAGAUUGGAUAGCCACUUUGGUUCAAAACAUCAAAAGAAAUUCACAUCACAAAAUUGCACUAAUUCAGCAAUGGCUGAUCACCACUCAAAUUCAAUGUGUUUGUAGAUUAUGUUUUAGUUUUAGAUCCUCAACUAUAAGCAUCAUUUGUAGUGAAAAUUAUCAUAUGGUCCCCCCCUCCUCCCUCCCUCCGUCCCUCUCUCUCUCUCUCCAUAUAUAUGCAAAUUAGAGCAAAACACUUGGGUCAUGAUACAAAUCUAACUCAUUCUUGGUUUAAACCUUCUCUUGGCACUAUUUGGUGUAAUAUUGAUUGUGCCUCUUUCAAUAACAAUUUCAUUACGUGGUAUGAAAUUAUGUCCUAGAGAAUCAGCGAGACAGUUUCUUCUCCAUGGUCAAUAUGAUUGGAUGUGCUGCAAUGUCACCACCAUAGAAGCUGAAGUUGUAGGCUUCAAGAAGCUAUCAAAGUGGCAAUUUCUAGAGAUAUGCAAAUAUAGUAGUGUUCAAAUUGGAUUGUAAGCCGGUUGUGUGGAUGCCAUCUCUCUUCCUUGUAUUCCGUUCAUUCGUUUGGAGGUAAGAAAAUAAGGUAUUUUAUAACAUUGUUAGAGUCUCCUUAUGUCUCACUAAUCCCCAUAAUUUGUAUGACGUACCACAUACUUUAUACUACAUCCGUCUCUAAUUAUAAGACUCUUUUGAAUUUUUUUCUUUGUUCCUUUUUAUAGGAUCCUCUUGAAUCUUCAUUUAUCAUCUUUCCAAGUACCACACAAAUCUUCUGAUGUCUUUGCUUUGCCGAUUUGCAUGAUUUCUUCUUGAAUUACAUCAAAAACACCAUAAAAUUGCUAUAUUUCAAAAAUACAUGCAUAUUAAAUGUGACACCGUCAUGAAAAUAUUCCACCAUACGUAUACGCAUUUGACACCAUUACUCAAAAUACAUUACCAACAGGGCCAGCCCUAGUCAAGUGCAACCAGCCCCUUGGCACAGGGACUCACACUUAGAGGGGCAUCAAAAUUAAAAAAAAGGAAAAAAUACUUGUACCUACGGACAAAAUCCGUCACUAAAUGUUCCGUAGGUAAAUGUUUGGAAGACAACAAUUAUGAUGUCAAUUAUGAAUUGUCCAUAAGUAAAGAUCUAUUUAUCCUUAGCUAAAAGUCAUGUUUGAACCCUUGCUUAUAUAUUUAACUACAAUUUAAUUGUCUAUUACUAUAAACAGUGUUGGAUUUUUUUUACAAUUCUUUUUAAAUGAAAAUUGUCAAGUCUGUAACUGGACCUCCGAAUUAUCAGGAACGAUUAAGAUUACCGCCUUAAGUUUAAGUUACGAAAAUUAGAAAUAUUUGAGUUCAAGAAUCAGAAUAGUCAAUGAAAUAUUGUUAGAAAGGACCAAGUCAAUACACAAUGGAUUUUUUGUAUUGAACCAACCGAAUAUUCUAUGAAAAAUUCUAUUAGGCGACAAUGACAAUAUGUACGUGGAGCAUAUGUAAAGAAGAUAUAACCAGCACACGGUUUAUCAUGAAUUAAACCAUGUCUUAUUUUUAAUUAGUCACUACCUAACAAAUGAAAAUUCUACGUUCAAACUAGAUGUUUGACAAUUGAUGUAACAUGGAUAAGAAAUACUCCCUCCGUCCCUAUAUAUAAGACCCUUUUGCCAAAAUCAUGGGAAUUAAGAUAGUGGAUAUUUGUAUUAAAGUUGUUUGUAAUCACUAUUGUUUUUACAAUUUUAUCCUUUAAGAAAGAAGGUUAGUUUAUGUUUUCAACAUGUUAUUUAUUGUUGAUUGAAGGAAAAAAUGUAUAAUAAAUAGGGGCAUGUAUGUAAAUAAAUAAUUAAUGUAGUUGGAAAUAACAAAGGGAUCUUAUAAAAAAGGACAAAAAAAAUUCUCAAAAGGGUUUUAUAAUUAGGGACGGAGGGAGUAUGAAGUAUAUAAGGAUACACCUACAUUCAUAAACAUAAACAUUGUUUAAUAUCCUCUCAAAAAUAUCAUAGUUUAAUUUAUAAAUCGGUGAAAAUGUAUGCAACAAGACUUCUUUCCAUGUACAAAAGGAAUCCUAGUGCUCUUUCAGAUCCACCACCAUCAGGACCAAAUUCAAGUUAUCUUGUGAUAUUGGAUGAAGUAGCUCAAACUUACUCUUGUUUUGGUUUGUCAAAAGACAAUAGAAUCAAGAAUUUUCCUUUACCUCAGAACAAAAAUUUAACCAUCAAUUUAUCAGCAGGUGAAAGCACCUUUUUGGAAGAAGCUAUGUUCAUUCCAGUAUUGAAUCAACCAUUGUCUUCUAAUCGCUACUAUGUUAUAAGAAGGGAGGGGAAAUAUCAAGGGUAUGUAUUUAUUUAAUUUUAAUCAUUUUCUCGUAAUUUUUGUACAAGUUUUUCCCUGUCAUCCCAACUGAGAGUAUUGUAAUAUGAGACAUAAUUAUAUUUGUGUUGGUAAUUAUCUUUCAUGGUUAAAGAAAGAGAAAAGAUAGAUUCAUAAAGUAAUAGUGGUUCUUUCAAAAUUAAUUGUUAAAUUUGAAUUGAUUUCAGCCAAGCUAGUACAAGUUCAAAGGAAGAGGACAAGACCACAUGUUUAUGUUGUAGUUUUGUCCAUGAUGUUAAACCAAGAGCUUUGAAGCCCUUCAAUGAUUAUCAGCAGUUUGAAAUAAUCAAGAAGAGUUAUGGUUUUCAAGCAAAAUCUAUCGCUUCAAAUGGAAUUCCUCCUGGGUUAUUGAGGGAAGAAGGGUGGGCACUUCAUGCUAGCACUCCCCGCAACUACCAAUUAAGCCAAGCUUUAGGUUCAAAUGAUUCCUUGCGUUCCAAGCUACCAAAUUUCAACUUUCCAUUGACUUAUGAUCAUUCUGGAUCAGUGAUUGUUGGAAACUGGUAUUGUCCUUUUAUGUUUGUGAAAGAAGGAAUGAAUUUAAAGGAGCAGAUGAAGAUGUCAAUGUUCUAUGAGCUAACACUUGAGCAAAGAUGGGAGAAGAUAUUUUCAAAGGAAAAUGAAAAUAGUGGAGAAGGUGAUGUGGUUGUAGAUGUUGUUAUUCAAACAGAAGUUGCUAAAAUUGAAGGAAAGGAUGCUGUUUGGGAUGAAAAUAGAUUGGUUCAUGGAGUUUUGUGGUUUAAGAGUGUUGAAAAGAAAAGUGUUGGAUUGAGGUUGGAAGUUGGUGAGGCAAUGAAAUGGGAACAAAGAAGGUUUGGAUGGAAUGCUGGGAAUGGAAGACAAGUGAGAGUAACAAAAGUUGAAGAGUUUGAUGGAACAAACAAAUGGAAUAAAUUUAGUUGUUAUGUGUUGGUUGAAACUUAUUCAUUGAGAAGAAUGGAUAAAAGUUUGUUGCUGACUUAUGCUUAUAGACACUCACAUCAAAUUAAGAGCAAGUGGGAAUGAUUAAUUUUUACUUUAAUCUUUGGGCUUCUUCAGUAGUUCUUGUUAUUCAUUAUUAUACUAUGUACAACUUAUUUAUGUAGCUACACAUAGGAUGUUAGAGCCGGCACAUUUUGGCCCCUUUAUUUUUGUGUAUGUAAAAGGCGUGUCUUAUAUAUACUCUUUUUUAUUUGAGCAAUUCUAUAUAUUUUUCUUUAAUCAAAUAAAUUUAAAUUGGUGUUAUAACUUGCUUUAAAAAAAAUUGGUGUCACAACCAGGGCCGUUCCUGGAAGGUGCAAACAGCUCUACUGAGCUGGGCCUCCCCAAUUUUGGAGCCCAACAAUUUUUUUUUAAUAUAUAUAAUGCAAUGAAAAUAUAAUAUAUACAGAUAACAUUGUAGUAUUAACAAAAUUGAAGGCGCGUCCCAGUGGUAAAUUUUGUAGAAGUUGAACUUAUGUACUCUGGUUCAACUCCUCUUCUUCCAAAAAGCUCUGACAACAAACAUUAUAAUUAUUCUCUAAAAAUAUAAAAUAAAAAACAUUAUAAUUUUUUUUUUGCUCUUUUAUAAAAAUUGUAUUUUUAUUUUGACUAGGGGUCUAUUUUUAUUUGAGAGCCGAGCUGAGCCUCCACUUUUGUAGGGACGGCCCUGGUCACAACUAUUGAACUGUUCCAUUUCGUCCAUCGUCUAUGUUGUUGUGAAUCAUAUUAUUCCGGUGAGGACUAGAUUACCUUCUCUUGUUUAGAGGAUAUUUACCCUUUCAAGAUAUCAACCAAUCAAAAUGUAAUAUACAAAUGUAACAUUAAAUGUCAAAUAAAUGAGUCAAUUUUUCUAUAAAAAAAAUCAAUUUUAAUAAGGUAACUUUUAAUUUUUAUUUGAUUAUAUUGAGGUAUACAAUCUUAAUUAAUUUACACUAUAAAGUUUAUAACAAUUAAAAUUUCACAUUAAAUUCAAACCAUCAUGGUUGUGUUUCGUAACACGAAUAAGCUAGCUUAUAGCUUGUUAGACUAGCUUAUAACCUUGUUUUGAUAUAAUAAGAUGUGUUUGGUAAAAAAAACUUUUUUCACUAGCUUAUAGAGUUUUUUGAGAAGCUAUUUCAAGUAGCUUUUGAGCUUAUAGCUGGUAGUUUUAUAUAUUUUCUUCCAAUUUUAACCCUAUUAUUUAAUUCAAUUAUUUUUUAAUAAAACAAAUGCCACGUUUUCUCCUUUGAAAAAAAAAAAACUGUCAUGCUUUAUUUUAUUUUUUAAUGAACGCUUUAUAUUUGUUUCUUAAAAUAAAUGUUUUAUAUUUAACACUAACUAGCCUACGGUACGUUGUAAAAUUUUAUAUAUUCUUGCUUGCAUUUUUUUCCACCUUCCUCUUAUUUUUGGGAUUCAUAAAAGUAGAGAUCAAUGAGCUUUUGCCCUCUUGUACAAAAAAAAAAAAAACAGAGAUCAAAAUUGUCGGUGAAAUUUUAUUGGAGACUAAAACCAAAAGUUUGAAUAAUUACAAGGAUCCAUAACAUAGUUAACCAUAAAUUAAAAUAUUAAAAAAUAAAUACAUUAGAAAAUAUGUCUCUCUCUCUCUCUCUCUCUCUCUCUCUAUAUAUAUAUAUAUAUAUAUAUAUAUAUAUAUAUAUAUAUAUAUAUAAACAAGUCCUUUUAUGUCAUUUUAUAUUUAUCAGUCACUUCAACAUCUAAUUUUACCAAACACUUCAAUUUUAAUAAACCAUCUUUUCAGCUAUAAGCUAUGAGUUAUAAGACAUCAGCUAUAAGCUUGUUUUUCAACUAGCUUAUAGCUUAUUUUUACGAAACACACCCCACAUACGUUCAUAAAUUUUGUUCCAUUCCAAAACCUAGAACACACAUAACGUGCAAUUUCUUCUUCAUUCUUCUUCCCAUCUUGAUUGUUCAAUUCUCUCGUUCGAGAAUUGCCAUCGUUUCCAAUUAUCUUGAGAAUCGUUGUCGUCCUUAUGAUUUCAGACAUUAUGAGAAUCGGUGUUGUUUCCAUAAUCACAUCAAGUAUCAUGACUUGAUUUUUCUUCUUGAUUUGAUUUUUCAUUUUCGUUUUUUUCUCACUACUAUCGUGACUUGAUUGCAACCGUUUUACACUUAUAAUGCGACAUUGGUGACUUUCAACUUUGACAUGAAUUUCAAUGAUGCUUCCUUUUUUAUUUGGGUUUUGAGUUUGAUUGAGUUGUUUGAGAUUAUAUAAAAUUGUAUUUUAUCACACUAUUUUGCGUUUGAUUAAGAUAAAUGGAUCUUCAAUGCGUUGAUUAUUAAUUUUAUUUUUGGUACAAUAUUGAUUAUUAAAUUUAUUUUUGGAAUUUGUUUUAUUCAAAUCAUUAUAUUGUGUUGUUAUGUUGUUUCAGUUCCUGGUGAAUUUUGUGUUAUUGAAAUGAACAUUUGUUGAGAUUGUGAACACGGUGUGAGGUCGGUUAAAGCUAUGGAAGAGAAGACAAAGUGAAAUAAAUAAAUAAUAAAUAAUGCUAAUACGAACAUGAAUUUCAUAAGGUGAGCGUUAAUUCGUGAGCAAUUUGUGGUUAUAGCUUUUGGAAACAACACUAGUUCUCACAAUGUUUGGAAUCAAAUGGACGACAACGAUUCUCACGAUAAUUGAAAACGACGGCAAUUCUAGAACGAGAGAAUUGAACAAUCAAGAUGAAAAGAAGAAUGAAGAAGAAAUUGCACGUUGUAUGUUCUAGGUUUUGGAAUGGAACAAAAUUUAUGAACGUAUGUGGGGUGUGUUUGGUAAAAAUAAGUUAUAAGCUAGCUGAAAGCUGAAAAACUAGCUUAUAGUUGAUGUCUUACUGAUAGCUUAUAGCUGAAAAGAUCAUUUAUUAAAAUUGAAGUGUUUGGUAAAAUUAGCUGUUCUAGAAGCUGAUAAGUAUAAAAUGACAUAAAAGGACAUGUUUUUAUAUAUAUAUAUUUUCUUUCUAAUGUAUUUAUUUUCUCAAUAUUUUAAUUUAUGGUUAAUUAUGUUUUGGAUCCCUAUAAAUAUUCAAACUUUUGGUUUUAGUCUGCAAUAAAAUUUCACCGACAAUUUUGAUCUCUGCUUUUUUUUGUACAAAAGUGGGCAAAAACUCAUUGAUCUCUACUUUUAUGAAUCCCAAAAAUAAGAGGAAGGUGGAAAAAAUGCAAGCAAUAAUAUACAAAAUUUUACAACGUACCGUAGGCUAGUUAUAGUUAAAUAUAAAGCAUUUCUUUUAAGAAAUAUAUAUAAAGUGUUAAUUAAAAAAUAAAAUAAAUCAUGGCAGUUUUUUUUCACAGGAGAAAACAUGGCAGUUAUUUUAUUAAAAAAUAAGCUAUGAACUUGGCCGUUAUUUUUAGGCUUAAUUGCACUUUUGGACCCCUAUCUUUCCAAAAGUUGCGGUUAUGGACCCCUAACUAAUUUAAAUACAAAGCAACCCCCUAUGUUUUGAUUCUUUGGCAGUUUUGGAUCCCCAAAGCAAACAAAAAAAUGACACAUGGCACCUCACUUAGGGUGCCACGUCAGCGUUGACCAAGUCAAAGAAUCAAAACAUAGGGGGCUGUUUUGUAUUUAAAUUAGUUAAGGGUCCAUAACCGCAACUUUUGGAAAGAUAUAGGUCCAAAAAUCCAAUUAAGCCUUAUUUUUAAGCCAUGGACAUGUUGUUUUAUUAAAAAAUAAUUAAAUUAAAUUAAUAGGGUUAAAAUUUGAAGAAAAUAUAAAAACUAACAACUAUAAGCUCAAAAGCUACUUGAUAUAGUUUCUCAAAAAACGCUAUAAGCUAGUGAAAAAAGCUUUUUCCCAAACACAUCUUAUUAAGAUUGUAUACCUAAAUAUAAUUAAAUAAAAAUUAAAAGUUACCUUAUUAAAAUUGAUUUUUUUUUUAUAGAAAAAUUGACUCAUUUAUUUGACAUUUAAUGUUACAUUUGUAUAUUACAUUUUGAUUGGUUGAUAUCUUGAAAGGGUAAAUACCCUCUAGACAAGAGAGAGUAAUGUAGAAAAAACCGAUUAUAAUUGAUUCUAUUUUUAGAAAAAAAUUGUCUCAUUUAUGACAUUUAAUGUUGCCAAUGUAUAUUACAUUUUGAUUGGUUGAUAUCAUAAGAGGGUAAAUACCCUCUAAACAAGAGAGGGUAAUCUAGAAGAAGAAAAAAACCAUUCAAACCCAUUUCAUACUUCUAAUAUUCUGUAAUUCAGAUUUUUAGAUAUUAUAUUCUAUUGUUGGAAUGAUGAUACACUUUAUUGCAAGUCAUCCAGAUUGGAUACUAAAACUCACCAAUAUUUAUGAGUGCACCUUUCUCAUGUUGCAUGAUACAACAUGCAACAAACUUGCUUUCGCAGUGAUUCAAAGGUUAGCUUCCCUAAUUUUUGUUCAAUACUUAAAAUUGUUGCAACAUUUGAAAAUUUGUAUAUGUAAAUUGUUGCUCUAAACCGUCCUAAGCUUUGUAGUACAAGCACUUCCUACCAAAGGCAUGUUAGGGGGUACAAAAUAUUGAUAAUGUAUGUAAUUCGAUACAUGUUUAACUCUAUUUCUCUUACUUUUUAUCUUCUAUAAUUUAGACAUAUUUCCAAAAUACAUGCAAAUUAGAACUAUACGUGACACGGUCAUCAAAUUUUCUAUUUCAAAUUAGGGACAUAUACUAUAUGUACGUGCAACAUAUGUAUAGAAGACGUCACCCAUUAUAAAUAGUCAAACGCGGUUUAUCAUAAAUUACUCCACCUUGUAUUAUUAUAUAAAACUCUACAAUAAACAAUAAUUCAACGUUCAAACUAUAUGUUUGACAAACUAUAUGUAUAUAAAGGAUUCACGUACAUUCAUAAACAUAAUCUUCAAGAUCAUAAUUUAAUCUACAAAUCAGUGAAAAUGUAUGCAACAAGACUUCUUUCCAUGUACAAAAAGAAUCCUAGUGCUCUUUCAGACCCACCACCAUCGGGGCCAAAUUCAAGUUAUCUUGUGAUAUUGGAUGAAGAAGCUCAAACUUACUCUUGUUUUGGUUUGUCCAAAGACAAUAGAAUCAAGAAUUUUCCUCUACCUCAGAACAAAAAUGUAACCAUCAAUUAUUCAUCUGGUGUAAACAGUCAAACUGGACAUGCAAACACAUACGGUGAAGAAGCUAUGUUCAUUCCAGUGUUGAAUCAACCAUUGUCUUCGAAUCGCUACUAUGUUAUAAGAAGGAAGGGGAAGUAUCAAGGGUAUGUAUUUAUUUAAUCAUUUUCUUCAUAUUUUUGUUGGUAAUUAGUUAACUUUCAUGGUUAAAGAAAGAUAAAUGAUUAAUUCAUAAAGUAAUAGAGGUUUUUUCAAAAUUAAUUGUGAAAUUUGAAUUGAUUUCAGCCAAGCUAAUACAAGUUCAAAGGAAGAGGACAUGACCACAUGCUUUUGUUGUAGUUUUGUCAAUGAUGUUAAACCAAUAGCUUUGGAGCCCUUCAAUGAUUAUCAACAGGUAGAAAUAAUCAAAAAAGGUUAUGGUUUUCAUGCAAAAUCCGUUGCCUCUGAUGGAAUUCCUCCUGGCUUAUUAAGGGAAAAAGGGUGGACACUUUAUGCUAGCACUCCCCGGAACUACCAAUUAAGCCAAGCUUUAGGUUCAAAUGAUUCCUUGCGUUCCAAGCUACCAAAUUUCAACUUUUCAAUUUUGAAUGAUUGUUCUGAAUCAGUGGUUGUUGGAAAGUGGUAUUGUCCAUUUAUGUUUGUGAAGGAAGGAAAGAAUUUAAAGGAGCAGAUGAAGACGUCAAUGUUUUAUGAGCUAACACUUGAGCAAAGAUGGGAGAAGAUAUUUUCAAAGGAAAAUAGUGGAGAAGGUGGUGUGCUUGUAGAUGUUGCUAUUCAAACAGAAGUUGCUAAGGUUGAAAGAAAGGAUGCUAUUUGGGAUGAAAAUAGAUUGGUUGAUGGAGUUUUGUGGUUUAAGAGUGUUGAAGAGAAAAGUGUUGGAUUGAGUUUGGAAGUUGUUGAAGGAAUGAAAUGGGAACAAGAAAGGUUUGGAUGGAAUGCAGGGAAAGGAAGACAAGUCAAGGUAACAAAAUUUGAAGAGUUUGGUGGAACAAACAAAUGGAAGAAAUUUAGUUGUUAUGUGCUGGUUGAAAGUUAUUCAUUAAGAAGAAUGGAUACAAAAUUGGUUCUAACUUAUGAUUAUAGACACUCACAUCAAAUUAGGAGCAAAUGGGAAUGAUGAUUUUCUCAAACAUUUGUUUACUUUAAACUUUCUUCUGAAUUGUGUACUUCAUUAUUUUGUUCUUGUUAUUCAUUACUCAUCUAUAUAUGUAGCUACACUACACAUAGUUGAUGUUAGAGCCGACACAUUUUGGCUCCUUUAUUUUGUGUAUGCAAAUAAAUAUAAAAGGGUACACCGAUCCAUUACAUUUUUUUUAGGGAACCGAUCCAUUACAUGAAAUACUAGAAUAGUAAUAUUUGUAUAACCAUUUGUAAUUCUGACAAACUUUUUUAUUUUCUUUCUAUUGUUUGAGAGAAUGAAAAUAUAAUGCGACUAUAAAAGAUAGUUGUCAAAAAAUUGUUAUAAAAUAGUUGUACUAAUAUUAUUUCUCAAAUUAUGAUCAUACACAUUGCAAACAACUAGGGAUGAGAAUAGGCUAGGCUGAGCUAGGCUUUGCAAGGCCUAAGUCUGGUCUGCCAUCUUUAUUUAAAGCCUAAUUAAGUCUGGCAUGCGGCUUGUCAUAGGCCUACUUUUUAGGCCUGAGCUUGGCCUUCCGAAAGUCUGAUACGGUCUGCUAGCCUGUUUAAAAGCCUAUAUCUUAUGAACAUCUUUAAAUAAACAAUGUGAUCUAAAUUUAAAUGGACUGGCGAACUAAUAGUUCAAUUAGAUUAAACUCUCUUUUGAUAAUCAACACGAUGUUUUAGGGAAUUCGACUAUAUAUUGUAUCAUAUUUCUAUUCUAGUUUAUAAUAAUACAUUUUUAUAUGCAACAAAUUAAUAUACGCUUAAAUUAUUUAAAAAAGUUUACAUAUUUAUAUUUUAAUUCAAAGGACAAAAUAUAAUAUAAUAAUAAAUAAUAUUAUUCAUAUUACUUAAAUAGGUCGGCCUAAUAGGCUUAAGAGGCUUUUUGACCCUGGUCUUUUAAGCUAAGGGUCUGUUUGGGAAACUAAAAAAAAGAGCUUAUAGCUUAUAAGCUCGUUUGACAAAAAAAACUAUGUUUGGUAACACUUUUUCACCAUGAGCUUAUAGCUUAUUUCACGAGCUUAUAAACUAUUUUUCAGAAGCUAUUCCAAGUAGCGUUUGAGCUUAUAGCUUAUAGCUUCUCACUUUUUCUUCCAAUUUUACCCUUAUUAUUUCAUUUAAAUUGUAUUUUUAUCCAUUAUAAUUUUUAUAAUAAGCUACGUAAUAAAGACUACUAUCCCUUUAUUCCAAUUUUUGUAUAUAUAUCAGCUGGCCUUUUUUUUAAAAAAAAAAAAUAUAUACCUUCGUUUUUUUUUUUUUACGAAACAAAAUACUAUUAUUCUAUUAGUGUUACUUUUUAUUUUUAUUUUUUUGAGGUAAGUGUUAUUUUCUUUAUUCUCUGUUAAUAAUAUUACUCUAUUAGUGCUACUUUUUUUUUUUUUGAUGUAAAUGUUAUUUUCUUUAUAAAGUAGAAACACUUAAAUAAUAAUAAAUAUAAGAUAAAAUUUUAGUGAAUAAAAUUUAAUUUAAUUUAUAAUACAUAGGAUAUAUUAAAUUAAUAAAUUUAAAGUAUUUUUUUAAAGAAAAAUUAGUUUACAAAAUUACAAUUACUUAAAUUAAUGAUAUAAUUUUUAUUAUGAAUUAAGAAUACCCUUUAUGUCAUUUUACAUUUAUCAGCUAGUUGAACCGCUAUUUUUACCAAACACUUCAGUUAGCUUAUCAGCUAAAAGCUACCAGCUAGCUUAUAAGCUAAAAACUAUCAGCUAACUUAUCAGCUAUCCGCUAUUUUUACCAAACAGAGCCUAAAUAGGCUUAAAAAAAAGUCUAUGCAUUCUCUAUUUAAGAAAAAAGUCUGGUCUGACCUGGCCUAUCGUAGGCUAGGUCGUAGGCCCCUGUAGGCCGGCCAGACCUAUUCCCAUCCCUACAAACAACUAUCACAUAUGUUAUGAAACACGACAUUCAUAGAAGAAAUGAGAGAAAAGUGAAUAACUAUUUGUAUUGAUGAAGAUAUAAAGUUACAAAAUGAGUGAAAGUUCCCACUAAUGGGGUGGUUACAAACUAUUUAUAGUACUAUCUAUUAGGACUAAUAUACCAUUAAUUAGAUAUCUCUAUAACAUAUAAUCCUUAUUAGUUCUCUUUUAGUUCCCACUAAUUGGGUGGUUACAAGCUAUUUAUAGUACUAUCUAUUAGGACUAAUAUACCAUUAAUAAAAUAUCUCUGAUAACAUAUAAUCCUUAUUAGUUCUCUUUUGUUUGUUUAUUCCAUAAGAAAGUAUCAACCGACCGAACCUAUAUAAUCCUUUUUCACCAUCUAUAUUAUUAGUUAGAUAGCCGAGUAGUGAUAUUUGAACAAUCAGUUGAGACAAUUUUUUUAUGACAAUUUCUUUUUUCUCUCUUUUCAUUGGUUAAAAACAAUAUAUAUAUAUAUAUAUAUAUAUAUAUAUAUAUAGAGAGAGAGAGAGAGAGAGAAAGAGAGAGAGAGAGAGAGAGAGAGAGAGAGGAAGAGAGAGAAUAAGAGGAUAAUGUGAGUAUGACAGAGAAAAUUAUCACAAAAAGUGGUUAUACAAAUAUCAUUUCUCCACUUUGACUUUGGUACAAAACAUGAAAAGAAAUUCACAUCACAAAAUUGCACUAAUUCAGCAAUGGCUGGUCACCACUCAAACUCAAUGUGUUUGUAGAUUUUCUUUUAGUUUAAGUUGCAGUUUAUGCAAAUUCACCCUCUACCUUUCCAGGAAGUCUCAACUAUCCUAGACAUUGAUAGAUAUUUGGCAUGUGAACCAAAUUCGAUCGAAGUAAUAAAAAAUUCGUUUCCACGAGGACUGUAUUUAACUUCUACUUAGCAAUUUCAUUAUUAAAAAGGAUGUAUAAAUUUAUAUUGGUGCCCUAGGCAGUUGAGUUGAUUUAGUAACAUAAACUGAUUAAAAACAAUAAAGAAUUGGUUUUUAAGAAAAUUGAGAGAAGUAUGGUUAAGUCCUUCGAAUCCUCUAAAGCUCUCCUGUGGUAAUUUGCACUCCUAAAUACGAUCAAUGAUUAUUUAGUUUCACGACAGAUUAACUUAGUAAUUCUACCCAAUCUCUUGACCUAGAAUUCUCCCCGCAAGUGACAACCCCUUAAUCUCUUAAGUGAAUUCGAAACCAAUGGAGGUAUUAACGAACGUUAAUCCCUAUAUCAUAACCUAAUAAUGAUCUAUCUCUAGCUUGAUUACUUAGGUUAAACCUAUUACCUAAUUCAGAGUUAAAAGCCAGGGUUAGUGGUCAUUCAAUUUCUAUGAUCAAUAUGCAUAUUCAUAACGCUAGGGUUAAUAGUCUAUCAUAAACGUACAUAAGGCAUUAAGCACAAAGUAAUAAGAAUAAAAACUAAACUUUCAUUGAUGUUCAAAGGAGUUCAACAAAUUAGGGUUCCCAUAGGGUUACAUCAGAUUCAUCUCAUGAAUUAACCACAAAAGAAUUAGUUACUCAUAGCUAAAGUAUAAGCUAACUAACAUAAGAAAACGGAUUCAUCCAUGUGAAGGAAGAUUGACUCUUAGUUUUGAUGGUUCCCCACCAGAUCUCCAAGUCUCUGCUCCAAAAUAUGCCUUUAGGUCUCAAAAUUCGUGAACCCCCCUUCAGAAAACACCUCUUACUAUUUAUAGGCUAAUAAAAAUCGGCCACCGAGCUCCGAAAUCGGUGGUCGAAAUCCCAAACUGCGUGGCACAAUAGUGUAAAAUCGGCGCCCGAUUUAUGCUUAUCGGCGGCCGAUUUUUGUCGAACUCAAAGUCUGUAACUUGGCAGCAAAAUCGGUGGCCGAUCUAUAUAAUCGGUGGCCGAUUUCCAAUACUUCAAACUUCAUUUUCUUUUUCUUUUGCGGCUUGCAGCUUCAUGAAUUCCAAUAAAAAACCCCCUAAAAUUACAUGAAAAAUGCAUACUAAAAGAGUAAUGACAGAAUGUCAUCACAACCCCAAACUUGCAUCGUUACUUGUCCUCAAGGAACCAACUUAAAAUGAAAAAUCACAGUUAAAUAACACUUACCCCUCCAAUGAUCAUGUCAAAAGUUCAUCUCCCUUGUUAACAAAUGAUGAGCUAACUUGCUUGGUAACACAUCCAUUCCACAACUUCUCGCAACAAUAUUGAAUAUAACAGGGUUCACUCAGUCGACAUGUAGAACUACUAUAUUACCAGAACUUGAAAAAUUUCUAAGAAUCAAUCAAAGUCAAUAUUAUGUACACACUUUUAAGGACUUUUCAGGUUAUAACGUGGCUUAGGUUAGGGGGGAUAAUUUGGAAAGUAGGUUUAAGAAAAACAACGGAGUUAGACACCAACCUACUGAUCUAAAAUAUACCAUGCACCAUAACAUCAUAUCACAAUUAAAACCGGGGACUAGAGAUAACUUUUAUUGAAUGAAACAACUGAUCACUUUUUGUUCUUAAGCAUGUUAUAUUGUUUUUUUUUUUGAGCUGAAAAUUUUGACAGUUCAGCAUAUUUUAUCAUGCUUAUAUAUUUUUUUUUUAGCACAAAGUGAUUCUCUUUUCUUUCUCUAGUACCCCUACCCCAAACUUAAAGUGUUGCUAGUUCCAAAAGCAACCCCAAACUUGAACUUUUCAAUCAUAACACACAAAAACAUGCCUAACUCCAACAAAAUUUUGGAUACAUUCCUAAGGUCUCUAGGCUUGUAAUGUGGUUAGUCACCGAAACAAGGGGUCUAAAUCCUAGUGGCUCAACUUGGUUUAAACAAAGGAUAAUUCAAUAUAAACAAAGGUGGGCUACAAAGGCUCAAGGUACAAACAAUUUUGCCUUAGUGUGUACAAUAUAUGACCAAUCAAUUACAAAGAAAAAUCGCAAGUCCCAGAAAUAGCAUCUACAUGGAAACACUCAUAUUUGUAAAAAAUUAAAAAAAAAAUUAAAAAUUUAGACAUAACCUUACAAGCUGAGGUUUCUGGAAGUUGUUGCUACCUAAACAUCUUUCCGGCCGUACACUUCCCUUAUAGUAUUAUGCAAGCACUACCUCCUUUGAACUUUUGACAAAUCAUUGAAGGAAUCUGUUGUUACUGAACUGGUAAAUUUCAAAAGAAAUCAAUUCCUUAAUAAUAAACAAGUUCAGAUGCAUCACAAAAUAGGGGAAGCAUAAAUUCAUACCCAGACACUUCUCAAGUUGAUUCCUUACAAAAGUUCAGACAAAAAGCAAUAACAGAAACAAAAUUCAAAAACAAAAACAAGAAAAACAAUAGAGAUGAUAAAUGUUUGAGCUAAACAAGGUGCCCAAAUCACUGAUGUGCUCCUGAUGACCCUCCUGGUCCUGAAGGUGGGAAUGGAUACAACACAGGCUGUGUGUCCCCAUCUGGGCGCCUCUCAGACUGAAUCCUGUAAUACUCCGCCCUAAUCCGUUCCUCUGCAUUAGCUCCUCGCAGUCUUUCCUCCGCAAAGUAGUUCUCCAUGUCAAGCGGGCUAGCAAACCUAUCAAAAGCAUUUGUUCUUGCAAGAGAACUCUGUCGGUAAAGCUCAGCUGCCUCAUAAAACGGCCGAGGGAAUGCUGGUGGCGGCAUCCGGUCUCUAGAAGAGAUAUCUUGGGCCCAGUUGGCCAUAGCAUACGUGUACUCAGUAAAAUAGGGUGGAAAACCCUGCUGCUGUAUCUGAGAAGGGUGUACCUGAGGACUGUGAUCUUGCUCCAUCAUCUCAGGAUGUUGCUGCUGUGGUUCCAUCUUCUGCUGAAGCUCUUUAUCAUAUCUCUCCUGCUCCUUCUCCAAACCAUCCAUGACCGAAUCGGAUAUAAAUCUCAAAGACUUCACAUAAACAUCAGUAGGUUCAACAGGAACUUGAGCUGCCUGACACAGUUUGUUUAUCAAACAACAAUGACCCAGAGUAUUCUUGUCUGUCCUGACCAGCUUCCACAAACUAUCAGCCAUCAACUCUGCCACAUCUAUAUCCUCAUCAAAAAUCAUUGCGAGCAGAAUAAGCACACGAUCUCGUAUCAUCUCAGCUGUUGAAGAUGUUUGCUCAAUCACCGUUAAAAUAAAUGACGCCCAUGCUUUGUAUUCUGGUAACAAAUCAGCAGUGUUAAUUCUCUGAGGUCUAUCAACAGGUCCUAUCCAUCCUUUCCCAUCUCGCAUCAACCCCUUAAGCAAAUCGUCCCACUCAGCGCGAGUCCUGAAAUCCUCAUAACCUUGCUUACGAUGCUUCACAUCACAAUUCUCUACUUCCCUCAAACCAAGCACGCGCAUAAUGCUCCUCUUAUUGUACUCCACCCUCUUUCCUCUCACAUAAGCAAACGCACCUUUCUCAUGAAAUGCAUUAGCCAGGAACUCUAAUGCAAUGCUCGCAUUACUCUCUUCAGUCACCAUGUUCACAAUCCCCUCCCACUUCCUCGCUUGAAUUAGCCACACAAUGGAAGGAUGUCUCUCCAAUUUAUCCAUAGCAAUACCCCUUUCCUUGUUAAAAACCCUUUUUUUGAUGACAUUGAACCUUUCCUCCGCUAUCUCUGACACAAACCUUGGGUAAGAUGGAGGGUUAGGUGGUUGCUGAGAGGAAGCACCAGAAACUGUUGUUCCUCUCCUUCUUUUGGUGGUGGGUUCUUGAGUUUGGUUCUUAUCUUUGGCCAUGGUUGUUGUUGGGAUAUGGAUAUGGAUAUAAGAGUUUGGGGUUAAGGUUAGGGUUGAAUAAAUUGAUGAAAUUUGGGUGAAAUUUGUGGGAAGGGUAAGGUUGUGUGGUAUGGGUUUGUGAAGAUGAUGUUUGGGUUUGACAAAGAUGAAGGUUUAAUGGAGAUUUGGGUUUGGUUGUGUUGAGGUUGAUGAAAAGGAAGAAAAAAGGGUAGUGAUUUUCGGUUCUGGAGAAAUUUGGGCAGAGUAACACUACUUGGGGGAAGUUGAGAGGAAGAGAACCGGUCCUGUGCUUAUAUAGAGGGUCACAAAAUCGGUCACCGUUUUUAAAAAUCGGCCACCGAUAUCAAAGAUAACGGUAAAAUCGGCCGCCGAUUUUGAAAAAUCGGGCGCCGAUAUUUGUCGUGGCAAGCAACAUUUGAGUGGCUGAAAAUCGGCCGCCGAUUUUGAAACUCAGCCCCCGAUUUUUCAAAACAACCCUCUUCUUUUUUUUUCUUUUUUUUUUUUAAGUAAGAAAUCGGGCCCCGAUUUUGUAUGCUCGGUGGCCGAUUUGUUACGAAUAAAAAUUCCAUUUUUAGUGUGUGGACUUUGAAAAAUAUUUACAGGCCACAUUUUAGAGCAAAGGAUAAAAGAAAUUGUACCUACUGAAAAAUAGUGGGUUGCCUCCCACUCAGCGCUUCUUUACCGUCACUAGCUUGACUGUAGACAACCUUUAUAGGUCUGUCAGCACAAGUCCCACCCUUUCAGUAGGCAGGUCACCGCCAAAGUAUGGCUUCAGCCUUUGAGCAUUCACCUUGAAGGUGUCUGUCUCGUCAGCCUUUGCCAACUCCACAGCUCCAUGUGGAGAAAUACUUUUUAUCACAAAAGGUCCUGACCAUUUCGAUCUGAGUUUGCCAGGAAACAGCUUCAACCUGGAAUUAAAAAGCAAAACUUGUUGCCCAAUGUUAAACUCUCUCCUCACCAGUCCUUUAUCAUGAUAUUUUUUUGUUCGCUCUUUAUAAAUAGCGGCAUUUUCAUAAGCACUCAACCUCAUUUCCUCAAGCUCAUUGAGCUUCAAUAGCCUCUUCCUACCAGCUAAAGUCUGAUCAAAGUUAAGGGCCUUAAUAGCCCAGUAAGCUUUGUGUUCUAAUUCCACAGGGAGAUGGCAGGCUUUACCAUAAACUAACUGAUAGGGUGACAACCCUAAAUGCGUCUUGAACGCAGUCCUAUAAGCCCACAGAGCAUCAUCUAAUUUCCUAGACCAAUCCUUCCUAGAGGCAGCAACAGUUUUUUCAAGGAUUUGCUUCAACUGCCUAUUAGACACCUCUACUUGCCCACUAGUCUGAGGGUGAUAGGGAGUAGCAACUUUAUGCUUCACAUUGUAUUUGACAAGCACAUUUUCUAAAUAUUUGUUGCAAAAAUGCUUCCCCCCAUCAUUGAUCAAAACUCUAUGGGUUCCAAACCUAGGAAAAAUAUUUUUCUUCAAAAAGUUUACCACAGUGUGGGAGUCAUUAGCAACACAAGCAAUUGCUUCGACCCACUUGGUGACAUAAUCAACACAGACAAGGAUAUACAAGUGAGAAUAAGAGGAGGGAAAUGGUCCCAUGAAAUCGAUUCCCCAACAAUCAAAGGGUUCAAUUUCUAAAAUACCAUUUAAGAGUACCUCAUUCCUCUUUGAGAUAUUACCUGUUCUUUGACACUUGUCACAGUGUCUGACAAAUUCAUGACAAUCUUUGAAGAGUGUGGGCCACCAGAACCCACUAUGUAGAAUUUUAGCGGCUGUUCUUUCACCGCUGUGGUGGCCUCCAUAAGCUGAGUUAUGGCAGUGCCACAUUAUGCUCUUCGCUUCCUCUCCUGCAACACAACGUCUUAUUAACCCGUCAGUGCUUACCUUAAAUAAGUAAGGAUCAUCCCACAAGUAGUGGUUUGCAUCCUUAAAGAAUUUCCUCUUCUCUUGCCAGCUUAAAUCAUCAGGAAUUAAAUUCCCGGCCUUAAAGUUAGCCAUGUCAGCAAACCAUGGCCUUUCUCGCACGUUGAACAGUUGUUCAUCUGGGAACUCAGCCAUUAUAGCCCCCUCUUUGUUUGUAACCUCUCUGUUCUCCAGCCUAGAGAGGUGGUCAGCUACUACAUUUUCAACUCCCUUCUUGUCUCGGAUCUCCAUAUCAAACUCUUGCAGAAGCAAGAUCCAUCUCAACAAGCGGGGCUUUGAAUCCCCUUUUGUCAGUAGGUACUUUAACGCUGCAUGAUCUGUAAAGACAAUAACCUUGGAGCCAAUUAGGUAGGACCGAAAUUUUUCCAACGCAAAUAUUACCGCAAGCAAUUCUUUUUCAGUUGUAGAGUAAUUAACUUGAUUUUCGUUAAGAACUUUACUUGCGUAAUAAAUUGCAUGGAAAAAUUUCUCACGACGUUGGCCAAGUACUGCUCCAACCACGUAAUCACUAGCGUCACACAUGAGUUCAAAAUGAGAAUCCCAAUCAGGUGCAACGAUUACGGGCGCAGUGACCAACUUGCUUUUAAUCAAAGUGAAAGCAUUAAGACAAUCAUUAUCGAAUUUAAACUCGGUUUCCUUGACUAAGAGGUUACAUAGGGGCUUUGCAAUUUUUGAAAAAUCUUUUAUAAAUCUCCGGUAGAAACCGGCAUGCCCCAAGAAACUUCUCACCCCUUUAACAUUAACGGGAGGUGGUAGCUUUUCUAUAACCUCUAUCUUUGCUUGGUCCACCUGGAUGCCUUUCCCACUUAUUUUGUGUCCCAAAACUAUUCCUUCAGUUACCAUAAAAUAGCAUUUUUCUCAAUUUAAAUUGAGAUUAGUUUCGGUACACCUUUUUAGGGCAGCAUCAAGGUGUGACAAGCAUUGAUCAUAAGACUUAAACAGAAAAAUCAUCCAUAAAUACCUCAAUACUUUUUUCUAACAUUUUAGAGAAGAUGGAGAGCAUGCACCUUUGGAAUGUUGCCGGUGCAUUGCAUAGCCCGAAUGGCAUUCUUCUAUAUGCAAAUACCCCAAAUGGACAAGUAAACGCAGUCUUCUCUUGGUCUUCCGGAGCCACAGCAAUCUGAUUAUACCCUGAGUACCCAUCUAAGAAACAAUAGAAAGCUUGUCCCGCCAACCUCUCCAACAUUUGAUCCAUGAAUGGUAGCGGAAAAUGAUCCUUCCUUGUGGCUUGAUUUAACCUUCGGUAGUCUAUGCACAUCCUCCAGCCAGUAACCGUCCUAGUAGGAAUCAGUUCAUUCUUGUCGUUAGCAAUCACUAUCAUACCUCCCUUCUUAGGGACCACAUGUACUGGACUCACCCAUGUACUAUCUGAAAUGGGGUAAAUCAUGCCGGCAUCUAAGAGUUUCAGCACCUCUUUCUUUACCACUUCCUUCAUAGUCGGGUUAAGUCUCCGUUGUGGUUGGACCAUCGGUUUAAAUUCAGCAUCCAAGUGUAUUUUGUGCAUACAAUAAGCUGGACUUAUACCUUUAAGAUCAGAAAUUUGCCAGCCCAAAGCUUCUUGAUUCUCCCUUAACACCCUCAUUAAUUUUUCUUCUUCAAGAGGUGUCAACGAACUACUGAUGAUGACUGGUUUUGAGGUAUCCUUGCUUAGAAAAACAUACUUCAAGUGAGAAGGUAGCUCUUUUAAUUUAGGAAUUUUAGCAACGUUUCCUCCCUCUUUAUCUUCUUUGGCCGCCUCCUCUUCAUGAUGUGGGAUCAAGCUUUCAAACUUUGUGUACAACAGUUCUUGUUUACUAGCUGCAAGUUGUUGAACACAUUCUUCUACCUCUUUACUCAUGUCUUCAUCAUUGCUUUCAAUCGAAUUUACGAUCACCCUUUCUAAAGUUAGAGCUGGAGAUUCCUUAGUUGUGGUUUCUUCAACAAUAUGGUCUACCACAUCAACUCGGUAACAUUGUGGAUUUUCACUUCUAUGUUUCAUAGCUUCAAAAAUAUUAAAUACAACUUGUUCAUCUUGAAAACGAAGCAUCAAUUCUCCCAUCUCCACAUCAAUGAGUGCUCUACCGGUUGCUAAGAAAGGUCUUCCCAACAACAAAGGAAGCUUGUCAUCUUCCUCCAUAUCAAGAAUCACAAAAUCAGCGGGGAAAAGUAAAUCAUUAACCUUCACUAACACAUCCUCCAGUACUCCAUAAGGAUAAGAAAUAGAGCGAUCAGCUAGAGUAAGUGUCAUCUUUGUAGGUUUAGGUUCCCCACAUCCUAGCUUCUUCAUCAUGGCUAAGGGCAUAAGAUUGAUACUAGCCCCCAAAUCACACAAGGCAUUUCCCACACUUACCUUUCCAAUGGUGCAAGGUAUGGUAAAUGCACCUGGGUCUUUAAGCUUUGGAGGUAACUUCCUUUGGAGUAUGGCACUACAAUUUUCAGACAAAGCUAUGUUUUCAUCAUCUCUAGGCUUCCUCCUUCCGGUCAAAAGAUCUUUCAUAAAUUUUGCAUAGGCAGGCAUUUGAUCAAGUGCUUCACUAAAAGGAAUAUUAACCUGCAAUUGAGUGAACAGCUCCAAGAAUUUCUUGAAUUGGCCUGCCUCUUUCUCCUUUUUCCUUGACAAAUGAGGAUAGGGUAGUUUAACAUAAGGAGGGACAACUUGUUUCUUCCCAUUCUCUUGAAGAAGUUGACUUUUAGUCUUCCUUAGAAUAGAGUCUUCAUCAAUCAGUCUCUCACUCUCACUAUUUUUUUCUCCCUCUUUAUUUUUUUUCCUUCUGUUCAUUUUCAACUACUCCAUCAUUUUUUUCGACUACUUCUUGUUCAUUCUCCUCCACCUCAACUUCGUUAUUCUUUUUGGUCGCCUUAGGAGCUAGAGGUGUCAAUACCUUUUUACUUCUCAAUUCAAUAACAUUGCAACUCUCAUUAUUUUUCGGAUUGUCCUGAGUGUUGCCUGAAAAUCCUCCUUUGGUAUGUUCAGCUAACUGCUUCGCCAUCUGCCCAAUUUGGGUCUCCAUUAAUUUCCUUGCUGCCUCAUUAUUUUUUCUUUCAGCUUCUUGACUUUUCAUGAUGUUUUCAAAGUUUGAUUGAGUCAUCUUCAUGAAACUUGCCAUUUGCUCUUCCAGUGCGGACGGCUUCCGUUGUUGUUGUUGUUGAGGAUUAGGAAGCAAAGGAUUCAAGGUGUUAUUAUUUGAGUAGCUCAAGUUAGGGUGCUUGUUAAGGCCUGAAUUGUAGUAUUGGUUUGACCUUUGAUAGUUCCCCAUAUAGUUGGCUUCCUCACUAAGUCCUUCAGGUACACACUCACCAUUGGCAUGUCCCUCACCGCAUAAGUCACACCUGAUUGCCGCUACUUGUUGUUGUUUGUUGGCUAAAGUGUAACUAUGAAAUUCUUUGGUUAGAAUCUCCAAUUGUUUGUUCAUAGCUGCUUGGUUAGCUAAGAUUGCGGUUUCGUCACUCACCCCAAACACUCCUCUUUCUUUCUUUUUCACAUCAGCACGGUAUUCAUUGCUAGCCAUGUUCUCUAUUAAGGCCUGGACUUCAUGGUCGGUUUUACUCUUUAGACUACCUCCAGCUGAGGCAUCUAAGAACAUCCUAGUGUUGUGUGUUAAUCCCUCAGUGAAGAUUUGGAGGUACUGUUUCUCAGAGAACUCAUGGUUAGGGCAUCUCUUAAGAAGCAAAUUAAAUCGCUCCCAAGCAUCAUAUAGUGACUCACUCUCCCCUUGCCUAAAAUUUGAAAUUUCCAUUUUCUUAUCCCAAUAUUUUGACAUAGGAAAAUAUUUCUCUAGGAAUUUAAGCUCCAACUCUUCCCAACUUUGAACGGUUCCAUUGGGUAUAGUUAGUAGCCAAUCCUUUGCUCUACCGGUUAAGGUGAAAGGGAACAACCUAAGUUUCUUCUGGCUAUCAGUCACUGUGGCUGGUGGUACACAAAACUCACAUGUUUCAGCAAAGCGGCUCAAAUGUUCAUGCGGGUUCAUGCUCUCUGACCCAUCAUAUUGUUUGUCUCUCAACCCAUUGAGAACAGUGGUCUUUAUGUCAAACGCAACAGGGUUGGCGGGUUGAAAAGUGUGAGUCAGUUGCCCACGGUGAGUUGCUAACCCAUAGUCUCCCAGUUUAGGCCUUGCUACAGGCUCUCCCAUGAUGAUUGAUUCGGGAGCAGCGAUUGUUUCAGAUUCAACAAUUGUAGGACUUGGUAUCUGUGCUCGUGCACUUGGUGGAACUGAUUUUGAAAGCCUUAACAAACGGGCAGCUUUCCGAUUAGCCUUCGCAGUUCUUUCAACUUCAGGAUCGUAUUGCAGGUCAUCUGAACUUCGUCUACCUCGCAUAAACAGCAAAUUACCUUAGUAGCACUGCACGAUACAAAAUAAAUAGUGAAUACUAAUUCAAUAAAAAAAUUCUGACAUAAAUUUAAAAAUUGCAGAAAUCCUAAUCAAUAACGCUAUUGCCUUGUUGAAAUGAUUCAACAGUCCCCGGCAGCGGCGCCAAAAACUAUAUAGAUAUUUGGCAAGUGAACCAAAUUCGAUCGAAGUAAUAAAAAAUUCGUUUCCACGAGGACUGUAUUUAACUUCUACUUAACAAUUUCAUUAUUAAAAAGGAUGUAUAAAUUUAUAUUGGUGCCCUAGGCAGUUGAGUUGAUUUAGUAACAUAAACUGAUUAAAAACAAUAAAGAAUUGGUUUUUAAGAAAAUUGAGAGAAGUAUGGUUAAGUCCUUCGAAUCCUCUAAAGCUCUCCUGUGGUAAUUUGCACUCCUAAAUACGAUCAAUGAUUAUUUAGUUUCACGACAGAUUAACUUAGUAAUUCUACCCAAUCUCUUGACCUAGAAUUCUCCCCGCAAGUGACAACCCCUUGAUCUCUUAAGUGAAUUCGAAACCAAUGGAGGUAUUAACGAACGUUAAUCCCUAUAUCAUAACCUAAUAAUGAUCUAUCUCUAGCUUGAUUACUUAGGUUAAACCUAUUACCUAAUUCAGAGUUAAAAGCCAGGGUUAGUGGUCAUUCAAUUUCUAUGAUCAAUAUGCAUAUUCAUAACGCUAGGGUUAAUAGUCUAUCAUAAACGUACAUAAGGCAUUAAGCACAAAGUAAUAAGAAUAAAAACUAAACUUUCAUUGAUGUUCAAAGGAGUUCAACAAAUUAGGGUUCCCAUAGGGUUACAUCAGAUUCAUCUCAUGAAUUAACCACAAAAGAAUUAGUUACUCAUAGCUAAAGUAUAAGCUAACUAACAUAAGAAAACGGAUUCAUACAUGUGAAGGAAGAUUGACUCUUAGUUUUGAUGGUUCCCCACCAGAUCUCCAAGUCUCUGCUCCAAAAUAUGCCUUUAGGUCUCAAAAUUCGUGAACCCCCCUUCAGAAAACACCUCUUACUAUUUAUAGGCUAAUAAAAAUCGACCACCGAGCUCCGAAAUCGGUGGUCGAAAUCCCAAACUGCGUGGCACAAUAGUGUAAAAUCGGCGCCCGAUUUAUGCUUAUCGGCGGCCGAUUUUUGUCGAACUCAAAGUCUGUAACUUGGCAGCAAAAUCGGUGGCCGAUCUAUAUAAUCGGUGGCCGAUUUCCAAUACUUCAAACUUCAUUUUCUUUGUCUUUUGCGGCUUGCAGCUUCAUGAAUUCCAAUAAAAAACCCCCUAAAAUUACAUGAAAAAUGCAUACUAAAAGAGUAAUGACAGAAUGUCAUCAGACAUCAUUCUAAUUCAUUCUUGGUUUAAACCUCCUCUUGUCACUAUUAAGUGUAAUGUUGAUUGUGCCUCUUUCAAUAACAAUUCCAUUACGUGGUAUGAAAUGUGUUUUAGAGAAUCAACGAGACAGUUAUUAUGAAACAUGCCAUCCAUAGAAUGAAUGAGAGAAAAGUAACUAACUCAUUGUAUUGAUGGAAAUUGAAUGUUACAAGCUAUUUAUACUACUUAACUAUUAGGACUAAUAUGCCACUAGUUUAUAUUUCCAAUAGUGCCCAGCAAGUUGGAAGGUGUUCACAGCACUUCCAACUUGAGAUGAACAAUACAAAAGUACAUCAAACAAAUGAAAAUACAAGGAGAAAUGCCAAAAAUACAUCAGUUGUCAACAUAGUCAUCAAGCGAAUGCUUAUCCAACAAAAAGAAACCACAACUUAAGGUUUACCCGCUUGGAGGAAGAAGCAACAAAUCAAUGUUUAACUAUUGAUGGUCGGAUUUAGGCAAGUGUACCAAAUCGUUUACCAAGUAAUAAACUGUCAGUAGAGUAUCGUAUACAUAGGGAUUAUCGUUCAAACUAGGCAAUCCGCGUUACUUAUUUGGAAACAAUAAAAUAAAUAAAAGAUAAGUAUUUAGAGUUUUGCAAUUUAAUUUGUUUGCAACAUAGCAAAAUUUACCUAUUUUGAUUGCAAAAUGUUAGCGGCAGUUAGGAUUCCUCGAAUCCCCUCUAUUUAAUUGUUAGAAUUACGUAACAGUCAAGUUUCAUUCAUGCUUUUAAUGUUUCCUAUUUAAGUGAUAAGUUCGUGGGGUUUUACUACCUAGCAGUUGUCGAGCUGCACCUACUGAUCACACGGGUAGGUACGUGUGGGGGUCUUACUCUCUCAGAGAUAUAGGUUCAUUCCCCUCAAGCAAUCAGUUGCAACCAUUAUACCGGAGUGCAUGUGAGUUUCAGUGUUUAGGAUAUAGAGAUAUACACUUACGCUCAAAGUUUUACAUGUAAGUUCUUAUUUUCUCAGAUGUAUUUGAAACAAUGACGGAUAAUAGGGUUCCUAAAUUCAAAGUAUCCUAAAGGUUCCCCGCCUAUUGAAUCUUAGAGGACAUAGCACACUCUCCCUCUCGGUAGUACAAACGGGCAGUCCUAUCAGUGUCUAUCUUACCAAGGUUUUAGGAGAAUGAAGUUACUUGACUGAUUUAAGUCGUGAAGUCACUUGUUUCCCUAAUUAGAUUAGUUACUUCCUGAUUUAGGUAGGUUUGCACCAAUAUUAGAUAUGUCACCUUCCUAAAUAGCAUUAUCUCAGGUUCCUGUUCUCCUAAUUGCAAAUUUUCCUAAAUAGCGUUAUCUCAAGACAUAGUACACUUUUUGUUUUUCAAUUUAUGUUUUUCUUUGAGCAUUUUAGUUUGGUCCCCCCCCCCCCCCCCCCCUCUUAUAAAUACUUUUAUUUUAUUAAUAAUAUUUUCAAACAAAAUGGUAUGGGAUAGGGUGGAUUUGGGGUCCCAACCUGUUUGAGUUAUCAAUAUUCCAUUUGAUGCCUACAUUUGCUCUCUUUAUUCAGGAAAAAGAAGAAAAAAAAGUAAAAGCGUAUUUGAAAUAUUUGUUAUUUUCAUAUCAAAAUAUUGAUUGUGCAUGUAACUUUACUAAAAAAAAAUAGUGUAUGUAACUUGAUAUAUGUUUACCCUUUUUUUUAACGGUUGAUAUAUAUGUGUCUCUCUAUCUCUAACUUUUUAUCUUCUACUUUUCUGGUACAGUUCAUCUUCUACAAUUUACACAUGUUUCCAAAAUACAUGCAAAUUAAAACUAGAAUGGACCAAGUCAAAAUACGCAAUGGAAUUUUUGUUUUGAACCAAUUGAAUAUUCUAUGAAAACAUUCCAUUAGGAAAGAAUGAUGAUAUGUACGUACGUGUGCAACAUAUGUACAGAAGACGUCACCCAUUAUCAUGAAUUAGUCACUGCCUCACAAAUGAGAAUUAUCCAUAUUAACGUUCAAAGUUCAAACAUGGAUAAGAAAUAUGAAGUAUAUAAAGGAUACAGGUACAUUCAUAAACAUAUAUUGAUUAAUCUUCAAGAUCAUAGUUUAAUCUACAAAUCAGAGAAAAUGUAUGCAACAAGACUUCUUUCCAUGUACAAAAUGAAUCCUAGUGCACUUUCAGACCCACCACCAUCAGGACCAAAUUCAAGUUAUCUUGUGAUAUUGGAUGAAGAAGCUCAAACUUACUGCUGUUUUGGUUUGUGCAAGGACCAUAGAAUCAAGAAUUUUCCUAUCCCUCAGAACAAAGAGGUAACCAUCAAUUAUACAUCUUGUAUAGAAAAUAUGAUAACUAGAGAAAUAAACACAUACAGUGAAGAAGCCAUGUUCAUUCCAGUAUUGAAUCAACCGUUGUCUUCGAAUCGCUACUAUGUUAUAAGAAGGGAGGGGAAAUAUCAAGGGUAUGUAUUUAUUUAAUUUUAAUCAUUUUCUCGUAAUUUUUGUACAAGUUUUUCCCUGUCAUCCCAACUGAGAGUAUUGUAAUAUGAGACAUAAUUAUAUUUGUGUUGGUAAUUAUCUUUCAUGAUUAAAGAAAGAGAAAAGAUAGAUUCAUAAAGUAAUAAUAGUGGUUCUUUCAAAAUUAAUUGUUAAAUCUUAAUUGAUUUCAGCCAAGCUAGUACAAGUUCAAAGGAAGAGGACAAGACCACAUGUUUAUGUUGUAGUUUUGUCCGUGAUGUUAAACCAAAAGCUUUGGAGCCCUUCAAUGAUUAUCAACAGGUAGAAAUAAUCAAAAAAGGUAAUGGAUUUCGCGCAAAAUCAGUUGCCUCUGAUGGAAUUCCUCCUGGGUUAUUGAGGAAAAAAAGUUGGAAACUUAAUGCUAGCACUCCCCGCAACUACCAUUUCAGCGAAGCUUUAGGCUCAAAUGAUUCCUUGCGUUUCAAGCUACCAAAUUUCAACUUUCCAAUUUUCAAUGAUUGUUCUGAAUCAGUGGUUGUUGGAAAGUGGUAUUGUCCAUUUAUGUUUGUGAAGGAAGGAAUGAAUUUAAAGGAGCAUAUGAAGAUGUCAACAUUCUAUGAGCUAACACUUGAGCAAAGAUGGGAGAAGAUUUUUUCAAAGGAAAAUAGUGGAGAAGGUGAUGUGCUUGUAGAUGUUGUUAUUCAAACAGAAAUUGCUAAGGUUGAAGGAAAGGAUGCUGUUUGGGAUGAAAAUAGAUUGGUUGAUGGAGUUUUGUGGUUUAAGAGUGUUGAAGAGAAAAGUGUUGGAUUGAGUUUGGAAGUUGUUGAGGCAAUGAAAUGGGAACAAAGAAGGUUUGGAUGGAAUGCUGGGAAUGAAAGACAAGUGAGAGUAACAAAAGUUGAGGAGUUUGAUGGAGCAAAUAAGUGGAAGAAAUUUAGUAGUUAUGUGUUGGUUGAAAGUUAUUCUUUGAGGAGAAUGGAUUCAAAAUUGGUGCUAACUUAUGAUUACCGACACUCGCAUCAAAUUAGGAGCAAAUGGGAAUGAUAACUUUCUCAAAAAAAAUUACUUUAGUAAUUGGUUUACUUCAUAUUUAUGUAAUUAGAAAAAUAUGAGAAAUUUUAAGUUGUUAAUGAGUGGUCUGUGACACUGUUUAAGGCUUUUAAAUAGUAUAUUUUUAUGAAAAUUAGUAUAUUCAAUAUAUUAGAAAUUGUAAUAUUUAACUUUUUAAUAAAUAAUUUCUAAGUAUAUGAUCUUUAAAGAGUGUCAAGGAAACGCUUGAAGACUAAUAAUUAGUUCAUGUUAUAAUGUAUAUAUUCUUAAUCUUUGGUUUGCUUCUACACAGUUGAUAUGUGGCUAUUUUGGUUCUUUUAUUUUGUGUUUCUAAGAGGAGGUGCAAGUGCAACUUCUGUAUAUAUGUUUUUCUAUAAGCAAAAAAAAAGUUAUAUUUAUAAAGGUAUUUCAGCCCAUUUUUAUACUAAUUAAUUUCUAAUUUUGAUGGAAAAUAUCAAAGAAAUUAACAUCAUCAAAGUGUAAUCAGCCAUGGUUUCAUCUCUCAAAUUCAAGCUUGUGUCCAAACAACUGGCUUAGCUUCCUAUUUUUGUGGUAUUAAUGUUUAAGUGGCCAUUUGUUUGUGACUAAUUAAAGGAUACUCGUGUAAUGUUGAUUUGUUGGGAUUAUCAAUCAAUAAACUGGUGUAUUUCAAACAAUACUCGUGUAAUGUACUCCAUAUUGAAGUUGUUUCGAGUAACCCCAAUUCAAAGAUAGGACUCUUACAUAGUAAUCUACCUAAACUUACGAGUUACAUAUUUAAUCGUUUAAAAAAAAUACCCUUUUUUCUGUUUCAAUCGAUAAACAAAAGUGUUCACACGUCUUAGUUCAAUCAAAUUCCAAGGCACUAUAUAUAAGAAAUGAAAUUCCGAGGCACAAAAUUCCUUAAAAUUUUUUUAUUGAGGAACUGUUGUUUCGGAGGAAGAAUGUCCUCGAAAUAAUGAUUUGACAGCUGAACCACAUACUGACGUAUCUGCAAAGGUUGACACAAAAGUGAAUAGUAUUUUCGUGAAACUUUGAAUUCGGAAGUAUUUUAUUUAAAAAUAUUUAAAAUGUAUCAAAAUUUUGAAUUUCAAAUUUCAAAAAAGCGCCAGUUACAAACUUGAUAUGUGAUUUGGGAUCCGUUUGGAUUGUUAUAACAAAGUUUUGGAUUCGUUUGGAUUUUUUGAAAGGAACAUUUUGAAUUUCUCUUUGAUUUUAAGAUUAAUAAUCUAUAGAUUAAUGACUUAUUUGAUCCAUUGGUCCCCUAAAUAAUUUCAAAUUUUUUUUUAUCCCAUAAUUAAUAAAAUUCACUAUUUAGUCCCUCAUUUUUCCUCCGUUUGCCAAAUAAAUCCUGCCUGUUAAGUUUAACCCUAAAUGAUGUCUCUGGUGGACCAACCUUAAGAAUGAUCCACCAUAAAUCCUAUUAAUUAAUUAUUUUAAUUUAAACCAUUUGAUUUUUUUUAAAAGAGAACCAUUGGAUUAAGCAUGCCUAAUUUUUUUCUUUUCUUAAUCUUCUAUAUAUAUUUUCAUCUUCAUCAAUCAUAUUCAUACAUUCAUACAAACAAACCCAGAAAAAUAUUUAAUCUCUUUAUUCUUCCGCCAUGCAGAAAUGUGAAAAAUGUUUUAUGUAUAUAUUGAACCUGUAUAAGCAGGAUGGGAGUAUUAAGGACUCCCUCUGGAACCGCUGCAUCGGUAAAGCAGUUCUUGAAAGCAUGGAAAUGGUGCUUUAAGCUGCCCAAAUUGUUCAAGUGUUACAUAGCAUCAGCCUCAAUGAACAUCACACCCUCUUUGUUACAAUCUACCAUGAGUUUACCACCAGAAUCAGCAAGUGGGUAGUAAAACACAAGUGCUUGUGCAAUUGCGUUUCUUAUGACUUCAACUGGGUCUUUCCAUGCCAUUGAUGUCUUGUUCAUCUAUUGGUGAUAGUAGCUUUGUUUCAAUGAUGUUAUGUUGUAGAUGAACAAUUGUCAAUGAUGUUAUAUUGGACAUGACCACAUGUUUAUGUUGUAGUUUUGUCAAUGAUGUUAAACCAAAAGCUUUAGAGCCCUUCAAUGAUUAUCAACAGGUAGAAAUAAUCAAAAAAGGUUAUGGUUUUCGUGCAAAAUCAGUUGCCUCAGAUGGAAUUCCUCCUGGGUUAUUGAGGAAAAAAAGGUGGAAACUUAAGGCUAGCACUCCCCGCAACCACCAUUUAAGCGAAGCUUUAGGCUCAAAUGAUUCCUUGCGUUUGAAGCUACCAAAUUUCAACUUUCCAAUUUUCAAUGAUUGUUCUGAAAGUGGUAUUGUCCAUUUAUGUUUGUGAUGGAAAGAGUGAAUUUAAAGGAGCAAAUGAAGAUGUCAGUGUUCUAUGAGAGCAAAGAUGGGAGAAGAAUUUUUCAAAGGAAAAUAGUGGAGAAGGUGAUGUGCUUGUAUAUACAUUAUUAAUUGAAUGAAUCUAAAAUGUUGAUUUUUGUUUAUAAUAGUGACCGGAGGGUGUAUAGAUAAUAGAAUACUCUCAAAUACCCACCAGCUCCGGUUCACCCACACCCUCCAAAGCAAAUGCUUAAUUACAUCUCAAAACACUUUAACACAAGAGUACAAGAGAAAAGAAAGAAAGAAAAAAGUAAGAUACGAGCUAAAUGUAUUUU
rnacentral:lncRNA from 1 species